CUACGGGGUGCUGCAGUGAGGAAUAUUGCACAAUGGGGGGAACCCUGAUGCAGCAACGCCGCGUGGAGGAUGACGCAUUUCGGUGUGUAAACUCCUUUUAUAUGUCAAGAAAAUGACGGUAGCAUAUGAAUAAGCACCGGCUAACUCCGUGCCAGCAGCCGCGGUAAUACGGAGGGUGCAAGCGCUACUCGGAAUCACUGGGCGUAAAGGACGCGUAGGCGGGUUGGAAAGUCAGGUGUGAAAUCCUACAGCUUAACUGUAGAACUGCACUUGAAACUUCUAAUCUAGAGUAUGGGAGGGGGAGAUGGAAUUAGUGGUGUAGGGGUAAAAUCCGUAGAUAUCACUAGGAAUACCUAAAGCGAAGGCGAUCUCCUGGAACGUUACUGACGCUAAGGCGUGAAAGCGUGGGGAGCAAACAGGAUUAGAUACCCGCGUAGUC
rnacentral:rRNA from 1 species